UACGUAGGGGGCAAGCGUUGUCCGGAUUUAUUGGGCGUAAAGGGCGUGUAGGCGGCCAUUCAAGUCGGGGGUGAAAGCCUGUGGCUCAACCACAGAAUUGCCUUCGAUACUGUUUGGCUUGAGUUUGGUAGAGGUUGGUGGAACUGCGAGUGUAGAGGUGAAAUUCGUAGAUAUUCGCAAGAACACCAGUGGCGAAGGCGGCUCACUGGCCCGAUACUGACGCUGAGGCACGAAAGCGUGGGGAGCAAACAGG
rnacentral:rRNA from 1 species